CGGAUGUCCAAGCACUUUCCUUUAAGGGUACGUUUGGUUCGCAUUAUGAAAGAUUACUAGGAGUAAAAAGAUAUCCGAGAAUCUUAUUUCUAUUCAUCCUAUUACUAAGAUUGUAAUAUUUCGGUGUUUGGUUCGUACGGUCAUAUUAUUUAGUCAUGUUAUUUAAGAUUACGAAAAAUAUACAAUCAAUUAAUUAAUUAAUUUAAUUAAUUUUAAAUAAUACUAUAAAAAAAAUUCAACAUCUUUUUAGAAAAAAGAGAGAGAAUAUAGGUUAGAAAGAGAGAGCAUAAUUAAAGAAAUAGGAAGAGAAAUAGAGUCGAGGUUAGAGAGAAUGAGAGGGUUGAGAUUUUAGAAAAAGAUAGGGAGAAAUAGCUUAAUUUAGAAAGAGAAAAAGAGUUGAAGUUUAGAAAAAAAAAAGAUAAGUUUAAAGAGAGAUAUGAGGUUAGAGUGUAAAAAAAAAUAAAACCAACUAACCGGCGGGUGAGAAGAAAAAAAAAAAAUAGACAUAUUAUAAUUACUCCAAUAUAUUAAUAUAAGAAUACCAACCCUCUCUCAAAGGAAUGAGAUUAAUACUUUGGGAUGCAUCUCAGUCCCAAGUAAAUAUAGUAUUACCAACUAAAUUACUUAAUCCGUUUAGCCAAACACCGCCAUAUUUUUUUAUUUCUAUUGGAUUAUUAGGAAUCUUAAAAAGAUAGCGCGAACCAGACGCACCCUUGAAGUAUUCUGACUAGACCUGGCAAUCUCGACCCAAACCCGCGGGUACCAGCGGGUUACCCGCAAAUUUGCGGGUAUGGGUACCAACUUUUUCAACCCAAAAAAUUAUAAGUAAAACGGGUGGGUACCCAUUAAGCUAUGACCAUUUUGGGUAACCCGCGGGUACCCACGGGUACCCACACAUAUAUAUUUUAAUUACAAAAUAUAUUUUUUUAAUUAAUAUAUUUAUUUAUUUAUUUAUNGUUAGAGAGAAUAAGAGGGUUGAGAUUUUAGAAAAAGAGAGGGAAAAAUAGCAUAAUUUAGAGAGAGAAAAAGAGUUGAAGUUUAGAAAAAAAAAAAGAAGAUAAGUUUAGAGAGAGAUAUGAGGUUAGAGUGUAAAGAAAAAUAAUACCAACUAGCCGGCAGGUGGAAAGAAAAAAAAAAGAUUAGACAUAUUAUAAUUACUUCAAUAUAUUAAUAUAAGGAUAUUCACCUUCUCUCAAAGGAAUGAGAUUAGUACUUUAGGAUGCAUCUCAUUUCCAAGUAAAUAUAGUAUUACCAACUAGAUUACUUAGUGCGUUUAGCCAAACACCGUCAUAUUUUUUUUAUUUCUAUUAAAUUAUUAGGAAUCUUAAAAAGAUAGCGCGAACCAAACGCACCCUAAGAGUAAGUUUUCUGCAGUUUCAUGCACAAAAAAUUUCCCCAUUCAGAAUGAUUCUUAUGUCCAUUAGCAACAAGAUCAAUUUCACGCCAUCGGGCUAUUUUAUCUGCACCUCCUUUUAUUCAGAUCUCUGGAGUGUCUAGUAUGGCCUAGAAUGGCAAGGUUUAUCGACCGUAGCACGACAAACAACAUUUCAACCGCGAGAAAUAUUUCCUCAGUUUUGCAAUUACUGCAGCAUCGUUCUACUUCAUGAACAAGGUGAUAUAUUCACUGCUGCUGCUACUGAUGGGCCACUUAUAAGUGUAUUAAUAGAGAUUGUAGGAAGCCUCGAUCACUUAUUAGUUUCAAUCAUUAUCAGACAAGUUUACUCACAUUUCGCUUUGCUGGAUUUAGCUGGAUUUGAAAACUCUGGUCUCUUCAAGCAGAUAGGGAUGGGGUGGACUUGAAUGACUUGUUUUAAUGGCUUUACUCAUUUAUAUUGCGGUGUUUAUGUUCUCUUUGGUCAAUUAUGAUCAAUUCGUAUACGCUUCCUUUGACAAAAAUGCAUCAGAUCUUGUUUGAGGUUCCCAAGUUUCUCGAUAAAUUAACUUACUUGAACAUACGAAUAAAAAUGAUAGGUAACUUGUCUUUGCUUUCAACAAAGGUUCAUUCAACGAAGAAAACAAAAAUUGUUUUACUUUGCUCCAGACCGAAACACAAACCUGCCGGGCUAGGUCUAUAACGUGCUGCACUUUUCUCCUGCUGAUUCCAGCCGGCAAAAGAGGAAGAUGAAAACCGCUCUCGUUUUUCUACUUCCAUAUGCAAUUAUAUUUUCACGUUCGUUCGAAUCCUAAGUUUGGUAUAUUCCUUUUCUCCGAGUACUUUGAACUUUGGUUCAGGUUAUGCUUCAUCUUCGUCGAAUCUGCAAUUGUACUGAGAUGUUAGAGUUAUUAUUAAGGUUCAAGGAAUUGCUAUUUCUAUUCUCCCCUUUCUUCAUUGCUAAUUUAGGCUAAACAAUAGGCUCGUAAUUGUAUCAAGCUCGAAAUCCGCUCAUAAAUAAUUUUUCAAAACAAAAAAAAAGAAAAAAAGAAGUGACUUUUUUUUUUCUGUAAAAGAUUAAAUAAUUAAAAAAGCUGGGUGUUUCGAUAAUAUAAUGUAGUGAUUGGUUCUUUCAAUCGACUUUCAUCGUCUCUUGGCAUGCAACAAGAAAAACAUAUGAUGAAACAUCCAAAAUUCGCAUUAAUUUCCAUUCGAAUUGAGGAAAAUAAAUGGCCAAUUUGCCUAUAAUCUCUUGUUAAUUUUCGACUAACCAAGCUCUAACAAGCUUUCUUAAUUAUGAGACAAAAACAAAGCCUAAUUAAGAACAAAUUUUCAGAAUUACCAUCACGAUCAACAUGGUUAGAAGGGAAAACGCAUCGUCAUAAUAUACAAGUAUUAAAUCCGAAUUUACACCAACACCAAAUCCCCAAUCACUCGUACGACAUUAAUCUCUCUUUUUAUUAUUCGAGUCGAAUAUAUGUUCCGAUCAAACUCGGCGCAGUCUCAGCCGCGGGGAUCUUCGACGGCGCCAUCGGGAGGCGGCGAAAGCGCGGCGGCGGAGAGGGCGUCGGCGAGCGCGCGCAUCGCCUUGACCUGCAUCUCGAGCGCCGCGACGUAGUCGGCCGUCUCCUCCAGCAGGCUCGGCGCCGGCAGUUUCCGGCACCCCGGCACCAGCCGCCCCAGCAGCCGGAGCCGCUCCUUCACCUUCGGCUUCGCCGGAGACGGAGCCGGAGGUGGCGGGGGGAGGCGGCGGCGGCGGCGGCGGCGGAGUUUUCCGGCGGAGGACUUGAGGAGGAGGGGCUUGCGGCGCCGGGCGAGGAGGACGGCGCGGCUCCAGCGAGACUGGCCGCCGGCGGUCAGGGCGAGGGCGGAGUCGGCGGCCUCCUUGACGGCGCGGGCGCGCGCGGCGCGGAGCGCCGCGAGGAGGCGGCGGCCGUAGGCGCGCUGCUGGGCGCCGGUGCGCCACUUGGUCUCGGCCGGGGGCCCGGAAGCGGCCGGUUUUUUUCUGGACCGGGUCGCGGAGGACGACGACGACGAGGGUUCGGAGGAGGAGGAAGAGGAGAUGGAGAGCAUGAUGAUGGUGAUGACGAUGAUGAUUCAAUGGAGUUAGAGAUAAAGAGAGAAAGGAAAGAGGGGAGGAAGGAAAUGUGGCGGAUUUAUCGAAAGAGGGGAGUUAGUGGUGAGAUUAGCGAUAUUUUUUAUUAGGUAAAAGAAUAUAGAAAACAAACUGUUACUCUCAUUCAAUAAGAUAUAUACAUCUUGCACUCUUUUUUUGUUUUUUUUUUCAAUAAUUUUUGGUAUACAAUAAAAUUAAUAUGAUUAGUAAAUAAAUUUUAAUUUUAAAAAGUUUAAAACGUAAAUUUUACAUCUAUAUUAUAAAUGUACCAACAGUAUUACUUAAAAAAAUUAAUAUUUUUACUAACACUACAAUGAAAAAUGAAUUGCAAUAUUAUAAUAUGGCAAUCUAAAGGUUAGACUUUAAACAUUAUCUUAUUAUUUUUUUAAAUAUACAUAUGUUUUCAAUAUUAAAAUUUGGAUGGCCUUGGCUCAAUUUCAAGACAGCGGAUCUUAGAAUUACAAUUCCAUUUGAGUUGUACAAUUAACAUUUAACAAAAGAUAUUGUAAUAAGGCCAUUUUGAGAUUGGUCCCUAUACACUCUCUUAACCUUCAUUUUUAUUUGAAUUAUUAUUUUACGUAGUUAAGUUUAAAAGUUUGAUAAGCUUAGUGACCCAACUAGCUAUUAUUUGUUUAUUGAUUUAAUUUUAUUUUAUAAAUAAUUAAAAUUUUUAAUUUGAUAAAAUUAUAACUAUUUAAUGAAAUAAACUCAAGAGAAAAUAUUGAUAAAAAAAUAAUGUUUUUUUUUUAGAAAAAGCUAGUACGCUACCCGCUUCAUUCAUUUAGCAGAUGAAUUUAGCUGUAGAGAUUGAGACAACGCGGUCUCGAAAAACAUUGAGGGCAACCAAAACAAAAAAGACAAAUAAAAACUAAAAUAAAAAAGUAAAGUUGAGAGGCUCAUUUUAGAUGACCUAUAUAGUUUGAGGGGGUCUUCAUACAUUUUUUACUCUUUUUCUUUUUCCUUUUUAGUAUAUAUUUAUAUUUAUGUAAUAGUGGGGUUUGGUGUGUGGUCUUGCAAAGCAUGUUGUGUUAAUGGUUUUAUUAAGGGAAAGGGGGGGAAUAUGUUUGUGGCACGGCAUGUGAAUGGAGUGAAAGGCCAAUAGGGCAUUAGGGGCCUAUUUCAUUUUAGGUUACAUGAUUCCAUCACUAAAGGGGGAAUUUAUUUAUUUAUUUAUUUAUUUAUUUAUUUUUUGGUUGGUAGCUUUUGCAUGGUCUAUUUAUCGACUAUUCUUGUGACACACUCGAUGACUGUUAAUUAAAUUGAGAAAUGAUUUUGCCUCAAAUUGAUUCACAUUUCUAGCUAAGUUUAUUUCUAAAUGAAAUAAAUAAACCGGGUAGCGUGCUAUCUAUUUCUCAAAAAAAAAAAAAAAUUACUGAGGAUAAAGCUGAAAUAUAAAAGCUUGUUAUAUAGCUAAGUUCAAUCAUUGGAGCACAUUAACCUUUAUUAUUUAACUGCCGAGGCUAGCUAUGAUAUUAUUUUACUUACUAAAUGGUCUAAUAAAAAACAUACAAAGAAUGAUCAACAACUACGAGAGACUGAGAGAGUGAGAGAGUUAGGAUCGAUUAUCCUAGAAAAUGAAUGCUCCUCGAGUACCCGAUUAUCCUAUAAAUUAUUUAUUACACUAAUAAAUAAUUUAUACAAGCAUGUUCUUACUCUAAAAAAGCUUCCCUAAUAGAUAUAACUAAAAGGUUACAAGCUAUUACUGUAUGUGAAAAUAAAUAUAAUAUAUAAUGGAGGAAAUGAGUUCACUGUAGAAACUUUGUAAGUAGAUAAUGAGUUUUCCAUGAUUUGCUAUAUAUCCACCAUAGUUCACUUAUUACAAUCUUUUGGGAUUUUUUUUUUAAAAAAAAAAAGUUCACAUAACAACAACAGCACAAUAAUGUGGCUACCCCGUACGAGCCGAGCAACAAUCAGUAGACAAUUUCAUUACGUAUAUUGGUGGGGAUUUGAUUGAUACUCGCCUAAUAAAAACAACAAAUUAAAAAACUCUUCCCAUAUAUUCCUCUACGUACGUACUACACUGCACCUCGAUCCGCAUCUUCUAAUUACAAUAUUAUCAACACUCAAAAAACACAUGCAUGCAUCCCAGUAGUAGUUAAUUAGUAAUUGCUUUUGGACGUCCUAUUUUCUACUUAAUUAAUACAACAAUUGUAGGGACUUAAUACAAUUGCAUGCUAAAGUAAAAUGUAUAAAUGAUCUAGUGUAACGUUAGAAAAUGUAAAAUUAAUUUGUGUUCGUAAAUGAUUUGUCGUGAAAAUAAUGGAGGGGAGAGCCCGAGAAAAAAAGCGUUACUCGCUUCGCCUUUGGCUUUCCCACUACGCAAGUGCGGAACAGGCUCCACCAUUUUUUGCUUUAUCCGUGGACGUCGCUUUACGCAGCUUCUUUUUUUUUUUAUAUAUAAAAAAAAAUUAUUAUUUUAGAAUAAAUAAUAACAGCUAGUUAUGUAUAACUAUAUUAGAAUAAUCAAUUAAUUAAUUAAAUAAUUAAUUGACAAGUAUUAAUUAAUUAAUUAAUGAUGUUCCUUGUUGCUGUUGGGUAGUGGUGGAGGUGGAUGUGUUAGCGAGCUAGUGGUUUUAUACUUUGUAUGUAGUAGAAAUUAUGAAAAGGGAAUGAAUUAUAAGGGGAAAAAGAAGUGGGGCUUAAUUAGGUGGGAGAGCAUUUGUCCAUUAGGGAUUGGAUUUAUAUAUAUAUAUAUAAUUUUGGGUUUAGAUGUUAUGUUAUUUGAUGUUGCUUGAGUUUCUUAAAAUAGUAGCCCAAUUAAUUAAAUACCUUCUCUUCGCAGCAGGUACUUUAAAUAUAAUAAAAUGAUGAUUAUUUUUUUAUUCAACUAAAUAUUUUUUAAAACUUUAAUGGAUUAAAAUUAAGUAGUUAUUAAAUAUAUAUAUAUAUAUAUAUAGAGUUGAGUUAGAAUACUCUCAAUAGUAAACGGGGCGUUUUACUAUCGAGUUGUUUUCGAUGAUAGAGCUUCCAAAUUGACGAUCGGCUCCGUUAAAUAUGAUCUAAACCAUUUAAACUACCUAGAAAUCAAAUUUCACGCACUUUCGAUAUUAUUCUUUUAUCUAUCUAGUGAACAAAAAAUGAAUGGCUGAAAAUGAAUAUUCUUUAAAAAAUGAUGAUAGGAGUCUUGUAAUCAAGAUCAAGAGUAUAGAUCUUGUUUUAAAUAGUUUAAAGAAUUUUCUAUCAAAAAUUCAAUUGAUUUGGAUAUCUUUACACCGUUAAACGAGAAAACGUCUUUUAUCCACCAUUAAAAUUAUAAAUUUUGAAACCCGUUGAUCAUUAGGCAAAUGAUGUCGAAAAGAUUUGAAAUUUGAUUUCUAAACACUUCAAGCGGUAUAGAUCAUGUUCAACGGAGCCGAUCGUCAAUUUGGAAGCUCUAUCAUCGAAAACAACUCGAUAGUAAAACGCCCCGUUUACUAUCGAGAGUAUUCUAGCUCAACUAUAUAUAUAUGAUUGGUAAAAAUAUAUUAUUUAAGUAUGAAGUUGUCUAAAAAAUUAAUGGUGCAGAAGUUUCCAACUUUUUAUUUUCUAUAAAUAAGGUAUUGUGCUUAAUUUUUUAGAAAUAAAUAUAUAUUGAAACCUCUUGAACUACAGCUGGUACUUUUGAUAAAACCGCUCAACUUGCACUUUUUGGAUUAGCACCUUCUUAAUUUUUAGAACUAAAUUCUUUUAGCUAUUUUAGUUAAAAAUUUAUUACAUUUAUUUAGCUCUACUAUUUUUUUUUUUCUAAUUUUAUUAGUUAGAAAUAAAUUUAAAAAAUAAUUAAAAUAAGUAAAAGUUGACGGAUCCAUUUCAAAUUGGGAAAUAGUUUUUUUUUUUCUUCGUUUAUUUUAUUAAGAAAUAAAUUUAGCUGGAAAUGUGAAUCAACUAGGAUUCGAACUUGGGUCUCGGAUACCAACCACCAAGUCCUUUGCCACUUGCUCUAGAAACAGUCGGUAAUUAGGAAAUAGUUGAGGGAGAGUUCCUGAUGGUUGUAGCGAUAGCUAUAUAACAUUGCUCUUUAUAAUUUGCGAAUAUGCAUAUAAUCAUCCGUAAAUUAUAAAUUUUAUCACUGGUUAUUACAUUUUUAUUUUAAAUAUUUAAUCUUAAAAAUUUUUAUAUAAAUACUUUAGAUAACUGGAUGGUUAAAAUUGAAAAUCAAAAUUAACAAAAGAAAACAGGUUAAAUUGGUCUAAGAUAGAGUGGUGCAUACACGCAACAAACAUUUUCUCUCUCCCUCGUAUCGUCUGCCCGGAUAAGAUUAUUUAUUGCCUGAACCUUGUUCACCAUGUCAUUCAUGGACCGCCCAAGUGAUUUACUUUUCGUCAAGAAAAAUUCUUGAAAUAACUAUGGUUUAAUAAAAAUAAAAUAUACUAUGACAGGUGUGAUUUACAAUAUUUAACUAACUUAUGCAUAAUUAUUUGGAAGAACUUCAAAAAAACCCCUGUGGUUUCACACUUUUUAAUUUUAGUACCCUGUGUUUAAAGUGUAUAAAGUUAGUAUUCUGUGGUUUCUCACUUUAUCACUUUAGUACCCUGUGGUUUAAAGUGUAUCAAGUUAGUAUCCUGUGAUUUUGCACUUUAUCAUUUUAGUACCAUGUGGUUUCACACUUUAUCACUUUAGUACCCUAUGGGCGCGUUUGAUUCGCACUAUGAAAGAUUACUAGGAGUAAAAAGAUAUCCGAGAAUCUUAUUCCUAUUAAUCCUAUUACUAAGAAUGUAAUAUUUUAGUGUUUGGUUCGUAUGGUCAUAUUAUUUAGUCAUGUUAUUUAAGAUUAUGAAAAAAAUACAAUUAGUUAAUUUAUUUUUAAAAUUAAUUUUAAAUAAUACUAUAAAAAAUUUCAACAUCCUUUUAGAAAAAAGAGAGAGAAUAUAUGUUAAAAAGAGAUAUUAUAAUUAAAGAAAUAGGAAGAGAAAUAGAGUCGAGGUUAGAGAGAACGAGAAGGUUGAGAUUUUAGAAAAAGAGGAGGAGAAAUAGCAUAGUUUAGAGAGAGAAAAAGAGUUGAAGUUUAGAGAGAAAAAGAUAAGUUUAGAGAGAGAUAUAAGGUUAGAGUGUAAAGAAAAAUAAUACCAACUAGCCGGCGGGUGAGAAGAAAGAAAGAGAUUAGAUAUAUUAUAAUUACUCCAAUCCAUUAAUAUAAGGAUACCCACCCUCUCUCAAAAGAUUGAGAUUAGUAUUUUGGAAUGCAUUUCAUUCCUAAGUAAAUCCAAUAUUACCAACUAGAUUAUUUAAUGCGUUUAGCCAAACAACGUCAUAUUUUUUUAUUCCUAUUGAAUUACUAGGAAUCUUAAAAAAAUAGCGCGAACCAAACGCACCCUAUAGUUUAAAAAAUCAUAGGGUACUAACUUGAUACAAAAUUAAAACCACAUGGUACUAAAGUGAUAAAGUGCAAAACCACAGGAUACUAACUUGAUACACUUUAAACCACAGGAUACUAAAGUGAUAAAGUGAAAAAUCACAGGGUACUAACUUGAUACAUUUUAUACCACAUGGUACUAAAGUGAAAAAAAAUUGAAACCACAUGGGUUUUUUUUGAAGUUUUCCCUAAUUAUUAAGCAUAGGUAAUUUUAAAAAUCUAAU
rnacentral:lncRNA from 1 species